UUUGUUGUAAGAGAGUUUUAAUUAACUUAUUUAAACCCAGAUAUUUAAAGCCAGCUGUCUGGAGACCCUGCUCUGCAUGCACUGACCAGAAAAGAUCUGUUUUCCAGACGCUUGCAAUAUCAUCCCUGAUUUUUUUCCAUGCCCUGUAAGCUCUGAAAAUGCAAAGGAUACCUAAGAAAGCUGCCAUGGUUCACUUGUGUGGGAUGAAAUGGCAGAGGAAAAGGGUUUUCUGAGGAGGGGACACCAAAGAUUCAGGGAAGGCUUCUCCAAGCCAGCAGCCAAGAGACAGAUUCCAAAAAUGAGGAAUUGCGUCUCCUUGACCCCCAGGUUGUUCUGCUCCAUUGGUCU